rnacentral:ncRNA from 1 species
CAUUUGUGAGGAUAGAACGGGCAUCUAUCGUCCUUAGUUUGAAGAUGUAGGGUUGUCAACCUACCAUAAGUG